UGACCGCUGGCGGCAGGCCUACCACAUGCACGUCGAGCGGAUGAAGGGAGCUUGCUCCUGGAUUCAGCGGCGGACGGGUGAGUAAUGCCUAGGAAUCUGCCUGGUAGUGGGGGAUAACGUCCGGAAACGGGCGCUAAUACCGCAUACGUCCUGAGGGAGAAAGUGGGGGAUCUUCGGACCUCACGCUAUCAGAUGAGCCUAGGUCGGAUUAGCUAGUUGGUGGGGUAAAGGCCUACCAAGGCGACGAUCCGUAACUGGUCUGAGAGGAUGAUCAGUCACACUGGAACUGAGACACGGUCCAGACUCCUACGGGAGGCAGCAGUGGGGAAUAUUGGACAAUGGGCGAAAGCCUGAUCCAGCCAUGCCGCGUGUGUGAAGAAGGUCUUCGGAUUGUAAAGCACUUUAAGUUGGGAGGAAGGGCAGUAAGUUAAUACCUUGCUGUUUUGACGUUACCAACAGAAUAAGCACCGGCUAACUUCGUG
rnacentral:rRNA from 1 species